rnacentral:lncRNA from 1 species
UUUCUUCCGAUUACCUGUGCUUAAUGGCUUGAGAUAUUUGUUUGUGACUGCUUAUUCCAAAGGAUGAGAGCUACUUGGAUCAUCAAUAUGAUCUCAAGAGGGGAACUCCCAAUGUGGUUUUAUUUUCUUUUCCCUUAUCUCUUGUAUGUUUAGGAAUUUAACCCUUUUUUUUUCUCUCCAUUCUAACCCAAGCCAAAACUUUUUGUGCAAACAAUAACUUUUGUUUUCAACAUUAGAAAC